GGAGAAGGAAAUGGCAACCCACUCCAGUGUUCUUGCCUAGAGAAUUCCAGGGACGGGAGAGCCUGGUGGGCUGCCGUCUAUGGGGUCACACAGAGUCGGACAUGACUGAAGUGACUUAGCAGCAGCAGCAGGUUGUAAUAUAAGUAGCAGAAACAGGAAAAAAUCUACAGUGGCAUUGGCAGCAGGAAACCUUUUAUAAGUUUUAAGGGGAUUGUGGCAAUGACCAAAGUGCUCUAAGAAGAUCAAGCUGUCAGCAGUGUAGAGCACAAACUGGAGAAAGAAAAGUCUGGAAGAGGAGACAAGUUAAAAGCCAGAGCUCUUUAGAACAUGUCAUGAUCGAGCUACUGGAAUCGAGCUACUCCCACAAAGGAGUCUAUGCUUGAAGAGCACCCUAAUAAUCUUCAGAAAUAAGAAGGCAUCCAAGAAUAUAAAAAUAAAAACCCUCGUAAGGAAGUGGACCAGAAAACUAGAAGGAACUAUGCCAGUUCUUGACUCACUACUUCCAGAUUUACUUUACUUAAAGUUGGACACGACUGAGCGACUGAACUGAACUGAACUGAAAAGAGAAUUAAACUUUUGUAUUGUUUAAGCC
ensembl:lncRNA